rnacentral:rRNA from 1 species
UACGUAGGGUGCAAGCGUUGUCCGGAAUUAUUGGGCGUAAAGAGCUCGUAGGCGGUCUGUUACGUCGGCUGUGAAAACCUGGGGCUCAACCCCGGGCCUGCAGCCGAUACGGGCAGACUAGAAUUCGGUAGGGGAGACUGGAAUUCCUGGUGUAGCGGUGGAAUGCGCAGAUAUCAGGAGGAACACCGGUGGCGAAGGCGGGUCUCUGGGCCGACAUUGACGCUGAGGAGCGAAAGCGUGGGAGCGAACAGG